AACAGGAUUAGAUACCCUGGUAGUCCACGCUGUAAACGAUGUCGAUUUGGAGGUUGUGCCCUUGAGGCGUGGCUUCCGGAGCUAACGCGUUAAAUCGACCGCCUGGGGAGUACGGCCGCAAGGUUAAAACUCAAAUGAAUUGACGGGGGCCCGCACAAGCGGUGGAGCAUGUGGUUUAAUUCGAUGCAACGCGAAGAACCUUACCUACUCUUGACAUCCAGAGAACUUAGCAGAGAUGCUUUGGUGCCUUCGGGAACUCUGAGACAGGUGCUGCAUGGCUGUCGUCAGCUCGUGUUGUGAAAUGUUGGGUUAAGUCCCGCAACGAGCGCAACCCUUAUCCUUUGUUGCCAGCGGUUCGGCCGGGAACUCAAAGGAGACUGCCAGUGAUAAACUGGAGGAAGGUGGGGAUGACGUCAAGUCAUCAUGGCCCUUACGAGUAGGGCUACACACGUGCUACAAUGGCGUAUACAAAGAGAAGCGACCUCGCGAGAGCAAGCGGACCUCAUAAAGUACGUCGUAGUCCGGAUUGGAGUCUGCAACUCGACUCCAUGAAGUCGGAAUCGCUAGUAAUCGUAGAUCAGAAUGCUACGGUGAAUACGUUCCCGGGCCUUGUACACACCGCCCGUCACACCAUGGGAGUGGGUUGCAAAAGAAGUAGGUAGCUUAACCUUCGGGAGGGCGCUUACCACUUUGUGAUUCAUGACUGGGGUGAAGUCGUAACAAGGUAACCGUAGGGGAACCUGCGGCUGGAUCACCUCCUU
rnacentral:rRNA from 1 species